rnacentral:sRNA from 1 species
AUAAAUAUUUUAAAUGAUUGGAAUGACUGAAAAUUAUUUAUUUGCUUUUCUGUCACAAAACAUUUUACAUUUAUGUUUACCUUAGAUCUGAAUGUCUUUACAAUGGCAUUCUUUCAGGACAAACAAAAAAUGUAAACUGCACUUGCAGACAAUGUUUACAAUUUGUUGCAAGAACUCCUGAUUCCUGCCUUUUUAUGCAAUAAUGAGCAUUUAACUUCUUAUCUUAUUACUAACUGCUUGGACAGAACUCUACUACACAAUGUUUUUUAUUUGUACAACUUGAUUGUGAGAACAUUUAUAUGGGAAAGAAUCAACAUGAUGGCAGUAAAGUCCUUUAACUUCUGGACCAAAAGGUUUCAUAAUGUAUGAGACAAGUUUGAUAGCAUAGAGAUUUCUCAUGUAAGACUAAGUAUACUUUUAUUUCAAUGUCUACAAACGGAGUCUGCAAGAUGGCUAUUAAGUGCUGAUGCUGUUUUUUUUUCAUUUAGACCUUAUCAGGUGAUAGAAAUGGCUU